UACGGGGGGAGCAAGCGUUGUUCGGAUUUACUGGGCGUAAAGGGCGCGUAGGCGGUCGUGACAAGUCACUUGUGAAAUCUCCGGGCUUAACUCGGAACGGUCAAGUGAUACUGUCGGACUAGAGUACAGAAGGGGCAACUGGAAUUCUCGGUGUAGCGGUGAAAUGCGUAGAUAUCGAGAGGAACACCUGCGGCGAAGGCGGGUUGCUGGGCUGAUACUGACGCUGAUGAGCGAAAGCUAGGGGAGCAAACGGG
rnacentral:rRNA from 1 species